CCACAGCCGGAUAAUCGGGAGAAAUUCCGUCUAAUACGGCAUAAUGCAUCGACGGGACAUCCUGUUGGUGCCAAAGGUUGAUUCCGGUGGCGGAUGGGCAUGCGUCGCAUUAGUUAGUUGGCGGUGUAACGGACCACCAAGACGACGAUGCGUAGGGGUUCUGAGAGGAAGGUCCCCCACACUGGUACUGAGACACGGACCAGACUCCUACGGGAGGCAGCAG
rnacentral:rRNA from 1 species